CCUACGGGAGGCAGCAGUGAGGAAUAUUGGUCAAUGGGAGAGAGCCUGAACCAGCCAAGCCGCGUGAGGGAGGACGGUACUGUGGGUUGUAAACCUCUUUUGUCAGAGAACAAAGCCCGGGACGUGUCCCGGGCUGAGUGUAUCUGAAGAAAAAGCAUCGGCUAACUCCGUGCCAGCAGCCGCGGUAAUACGGAGGAUGCGAGCGUUAUCCGGGUUUAUUGGGUUUAAAGGGUGCGUAGGCGGUCCGUUAAGUCAGCGGUAAAAGUGCGGGGCUCAACCCCGUCGAGCCGUUGAAACUGGCAGUCUCGAGUUGGCGAGAAGUACGCGGAAUGCGCGGUGUAGCGGUGAAAUGCAUAGAUAUCGCGCAGAACUCCGAUUGCGAAGGCAGCGUACCGGCUCCACACUGACGCUGAGGCACGAAAGCGUGGGGAUCGAACAGGAUUAGAUACCCCUGUAGUC
rnacentral:rRNA from 1 species